CCUACGGGAGGCAGCAGUGGGGGAUAUUGCACAAUGGGGGAAACCCUGAUGCAGCGACGCCGCGUGAGUGAAGAAGUAUUUCGGUAUGUAAAGCUCUAUCAGCAGGGAAGAAAAUGACAGUACCUGACCAAGAAGCCCCGGCUAACUACGUGCCAGCAGCCGCGGUAAUACGUAGGGGGCAAGCGUUAUCCGGAUUUACUGGGGGUAAAGGGUGCGUAGUCGGUUGUGGAAGUCUGGGGUGAAAGCCCGGGGCCCAACCCCGGGCCUGCUUUUGAGACUGUGUAACUGGAGAACAGAAGGGGCAGGCGGAAUGCGUGGGGUAGCGGUGAAAUGCUGAGAUAGUAGGAAGAAAACCGGGGGCGAGGGCGGCUUGCUA
rnacentral:rRNA from 1 species